AUUGAACGCUGGCGGCAGGCCUAACACAUGCAAGUCGAACGAGCGGCGGACGGGUGAGUAAUGUCUGGGAAACUGCCUGAUGGAGGGGGAUAACUACUGGAAACGGUAGCUAAUACCGCAUACCAUCAGAUGUGCCCAGAUGGGAUUAGCUAGUUGGUGGGGUAACGGCUCACCAAGGCGACGAUCCCUAGCUGGUCUGAGAGGAUGACCAGCCACACUGGACCUGAAGCGCGGUCCAGACACCUACGGGAGACAGCAGUGGGGAAUAUUGCACAAUGGGCGCAAGCCUGAGGCAGCCAGGCCGCGUGUAUGAAGAAGGCCUUCGGGUUGUAAAGUACUUUCGGCGGGGAGGCGUUACCCGCAGAAGAAGCACCGGCUAACUCCGUGCCAGCCGCCGCGGUAAUAC
rnacentral:rRNA from 1 species